rnacentral:rRNA from 1 species
ACGGAAGGCAGCAGUGAGGAAUAUUGGUCAAUGGGCGGAAGCCUGAACCAGCCAAGUCGCGUGCGGGACGAAGGCCCUACGGGUCGUAAACCGCUUUUGUACGGGGAUAAAACCACCCACGUGUGGGUACUUGUAGGUACCGUAUGAAUAAGGAUCGGCUAACUCCGUGCCAGCAGCCGCGGUAAUACGGAGGAUCCGAGCGUUAUCCGGAUUUAUUGGGUUUAAAGGGUGCGCAGACGGGCUGCUAAGUCUACGGUGAAAUGUCAGGGCUCAACCUUGGCACUGCCGGAGAUACUGGCGGCCUUGAGAGUGGCGGAGGUAUCCGGAAUGUGUGGUGUAGCGGUGAAAUGCAUAGAUAUCACACAGAACACCGAUUGCGAAGGCAGGAUACCAUACCAUAUCUGGCGCUCAGGCACGAAAGCGUGGGGAUCGAACAGGAUUAGAUACCCUGGUA